rnacentral:rRNA from 1 species
CCCUUAGAUGUUCUGGGCCGCACGCGUGCUACACUGAGUGGAUCAGCGGGUCAGGUUGCGCGAAAGCGUUUCCUAAUCUUUAAAUCCGCUCGUGAUGGGGAUUGACGGUUGCAAUUUUCUGUCAUGAACGAGGAAUACCUUGUAAGCGCGGGUCAUCAUCCCGCGCUGAAUACGUCCCUGCCCUUUGUACACACCGCCCGUCACUCCUACCGAUUGAGUGGUCCGGUGAGGCUUUGGGAUCUGAGCGGAAAGAGCGUUUCGCUGUUUCUGCCCGGAAAACUCAGUCGAACCUUAUCAUUUAGAGGAAGGAGAAGUCGUAACA